ACGUAGGGAGCUAGCGUUGUUCGGAAUUACUGGGCGUAAAGGGCGCGUAGGCGGCCUUUCAAGUUGGAGGUGAAAGCCUCAGGCUCAACUCGGGAAUUGCAUGCAAAACUGGAGGGCUUGAGUGCAGGAGAGGUGAGUGGAAUUCCCAGUGUAGAGGUGAAAUUCGUAGAUAUUCGGAAGAACACCAGUGGCGAAGGCGGCUUACUGGACUGCAAUUGACGCUGAGGCGCGAAAGCGUGGGGAGCAAACAG
rnacentral:rRNA from 1 species